rnacentral:rRNA from 1 species
UAGGGAAUCUUCGGCAACGGGGGCAACCCUGACCGAGCAACGCCGCGUGAGUGAAGAAGGUUUUCGGAUCGUAAAGCUCUGUUGUAAGUCAAGAACGAGUGUGAGAGUGGAAAGUUCACACUGUGACGGUAGCUUACCAGAAAGGGACGGCUAACUACGUGCCAGCAGCCGCGGUAAUACGUAGGUCCCGAGCGUUGUCCGGAUUUAUUGGGCGUAAAGCGAGCGCAGGCGGUUUGAUAAGUCUGAAGUUAAAGGCUGUGGCUCAACCAUAGUUCGCUUUGGAAACUGUCAAACUUGAGUGCAGAAGGGGAGAGUGGAAUUCCAUGUGUAGCGGUGAAAUGCGUAGAUAUAUGGAGGAACACCGGUGGCGAAAGCGGCUCUCUGGUCUGUAACUGACGCUGAGGCUCGAAAGCGUGGGGAGCGAACAGGAUUAGAUACCCUGGUAGUCCACGCCGUAACGAUGAGUGCUAGGUGUUGGAUCCUUUCCGGGAUUCAGUGCCGCAGCUAACGCAUUAAGCACUCCGCCUGGGGAGUACGACCGCAAGGUUG